rnacentral:rRNA from 1 species
AGCUCCAAUAGCGUAUAUUAAAGUUGCUGCAGUUAAAAAGCUCGUAGUUGGAUUUGUGGCGCGGCCGUCCGGCGGGGGUCCUUCUAUGGUCUCGUUUGUCCUGGUUUUCGGCCGCUCCUUUCUCGGGUAGAGCGUAAUGGCUGGCAUUAGGUUGUCGGCCGCUUCGCGCCCGUCGUUUACUGUGAAAAAAUUAGAGUGUUCAAAGCAGGCUUAGGCCGUUGGAUACAUUAGCAUGGAAUAAUGAGAUAGGGCCACGGCGGUCUAUUUUGUUGGUUUGCACGUUGUGGUAAUGAUUAACAGGAACGGUUGGGGGUAUUCGUAUUCAAUUGUCAGAGGUGAAAUUCUUGGAUUUAUGGAAGACGAACAACUGCGAAAGCAUUUGCCAAGGAUGUUUUCAUUA